rnacentral:rRNA from 1 species
GUCAGCAGCCGCGGUAACACCGGCGGCCCGAGUGGUGAUCGUGAUUAUUGGGUCUAAGGGUCCGUAGCCGGUUUGGUCAGUCCUCCGGGAAAUCUGAUAGCUCAACUAUUAGGCUUUCGGGGGAUACUGCCAGACUUGGAACCGGGAGAGGUAAGAGGUACUACAGGGGUAGGAGUGAAAUCUUGUAAUCCCUGUGGGACCACCUGUGGCGAAGGCGUCUUACCAGAACGGGUUCGACGGUGAGGGACGAAGCUGGGGGCACGAACCGGAUUAGAUACCCGGGUAGUCCCAGCCGUAAACGAUGCUCGCUAGGUGUCAGGCAUGGCGCGACCGUGUCUGGUGCCGCAGGGAAGCCGUGAAGCGAGCCACCUGGGAAGUACGGCCGCAAGGCUGAAACUUAAAGGAAUUGGCGGGGGAGCACAACAACGGGUGGAGCCCUGCGGUUUAAUUGGACUCAACGCCGGACAACUCACCGGGGGCGACAGCAAUAUGUAGGCCAAGCUGAAGACUUUGCCUGAAUCGCUGAGGAGUGGUGCAUGG